rnacentral:lncRNA from 1 species
CAUCCCACAUCCCAAGGCUCCAUCUGAUGGCACACAAAAUUAAGAAAUGCGUGGAACAUGUAAGAAAAUUAAGAGGAGUGGAAGAGAAGGACUCCUCUCCUUAAACCCAAAAUAAAUGUGAUGCCACCUUUAAUUUUUCAUGUAGUUUUGACAUGGAGAUGAUGGAUUUAAAUGGAACUCUUUCAUUGAAAACCAAAUAAGCCACCUAUUUAAAAAUAGAUUCAAACCCAAUCACAUUAGG